UACGUAUGGUGCAAGCGUUAUCCGGAUUUACUGGGUAUAAAGGGAGCGCAGGCGGCACGGCAAGCCUGAUGUGAAAGCCCGCGGCCCAACCGCGGGACUGCAUUGGGAACUACCGGGCUGGAGUGCCGGAGAGGUAGGCGGAAUUCCUAGUGUAGCGGUGAAAUGCGUAGAUAUUAGGAGGAACACCAGUGGCGAAGGCGGCCUACUGGACGGUGACUGACGCUGAGGCUCGAAAGCGUGGGGAGCAAACAGG
rnacentral:rRNA from 1 species